CAGCUCGUGUCGUGAGAUGUUGGUUAAGUCCGCAACGAGCGCAACCCCUAUUGUUAGUUGCCAUCAUUCAGUUGGGCACUCUAGCGAGACUGCCGGUAAUAAACCGGAGGAAGGUGGGGAUGACGUCAAAUCAUCAUGCCCCUUAUGACCUGGGCUACACACGUGCUACAAUGGUUGGUACAACGAGUUGCGAGUCGGUGACGGCGAGCUAAUCUCUUAAAGCCAAUCUCAGUUCGGAUUGUAGGCUGCAACUCGCCUACAUGAAGUCGGAAUCGCUAGUAAUCGCGGAUCAGCACGCCGCGGUGAAUACGUUCCCGGGCCUU
rnacentral:rRNA from 1 species